rnacentral:rRNA from 1 species
CCUACGGGAGGCAGCAGUGAGGAAUAUUGGUCAAUGGACGAGAGUCUGAACCAGCCAAGUAGCGUGAAGGAUGACUGCCCUAUGGGUUGUAAACUUCUUUUAUAUGGGAAUAAAAUGUGCCACGUGUGGGAUUUUGUAUGUACCAUAUGAAUAAGGAUCGGCUAACGCCGUGCCAGCAGCCGCGGUAAUACGGAGGAUCCGAGCGUUAUCCGGAUUUAUUGGGUUGAAAGGGAGCGUAGGUGGAUUUGUAAGUCAGUUGUGAAAGUUUGCGGCUCAACCGUAAAAUUGCAGUUGAAACUGGCAGUCUUGAGUACAGUAGAGGUGGGCGGAAUUCGGGGUGUAGCGGUGAAAUGCUUAGAUAUCACGAAGAACACCGAUUGCGAAGGCAGUUCACUGGACUGCAACUGACGCUGAGGCUCGAAAGUGUGGGUAUCAAACAGGAUUAGAUACCCCAGUAGUC